UGCUAUAAUUGUCAGCUAAGUGGCGCACGGGUGAGUAAUGUAUAGAUAACCCGCCCUUAAGAAAGGAAUAACAGUUGGAAACGACUGCUAAUGCCCUAUAUGCCUUUAAUACAUAAGUAUGCAAGGGAAACGCUUUAGUGCUUAAGGAUGGGUCUGUAUGGUAUCAGCUUGUUGGUGAGGUAAUGGCUCACCAAGGCUAUGACGCCUAACUGGUUUGAGAGGAUGAUCAGUCACACUGGAACUGAGACACGGUCCAGACUCCUACGGGAGGCAGCAGUGGGGAAUAUUGCACAAUGGACGAAAGUCUGAUGCAGCAACGCCGCGUGGAGGAUGACACAUUUCGGUGCGUAAACUCCUUUUAUAUAGGAAGAUAAUGACGGUACUAUAUGAAUAAGCACCGGCUAACUCCGUGCCAGCAGCCGCGGUAAUACGGAGGGUGCAAGCGUUACUCGGAAUCACUGGGCGUAAAGAGCGUGUAGGCGGGUAUAUAAGUCAGAAGUGAAAUCCAAUAGCUCAACUAUUGAACUGCUUUUGAAACUGUAUACCUAGAAUGUGGGAGAGGUAGAUGGAAUUUCUGGUGUAAGGGUAAAAUCCGUAGAG
rnacentral:rRNA from 1 species